GUUAUAAUGUAGGUUUUUGUUUUCUUUCCCGUUUUUAAUUAACGAAGGAGCUAUGUUAUUUGAAUUCUAGAAUGAGUUUCCAAUACUAACAUGUGUAUAGCACUUUCGAAAAUUUGUUCUCUCGUUUUUUUUUUAAAUUUAAACAGUUUUAUCCUUAUCAAUUUUGAAAAUGAACAACUUCAAACAAUUAGCUACGACAUUAAUAUUUUCCGUUAAUCAUACAUAAUUUUGAUUUAUAUAAUAAUGAAUUUAA
rnacentral:lncRNA from 1 species